rnacentral:rRNA from 1 species
GAUGAACGCUGGCGGCGUGCUUAACACAUGCAAGUCGAACGGAAAGGCUCCUGCUUGCAGGGGUACUCGAGUGGCGAACGGGUGAGUAACACGUGGGUGAUCUGCCCUGCACUUCGGGAUAAGCCUGGGAAACUGGGUCUAAUACCGGAUAGGACCACAUUUUGGAUGGUGUGGUGGAAAGUUUUUCGGUGUGGGAUGAGCUCGCGGCCUAUCAGCUUGUUGGUGGGGUAAUGGCCUACCAAGGCGUCGACGGGUAGCCGGCCUGAGAGGGUGUACGGCCACAUUGGGACGGAGAUACGGGCCAGACUCCUACGGGAGGCAGCAGUGGGGAAUAUUGCACAAUGGGCGCAAGCCUGAUGCAGCGACGCCGCGUGGGGGAUGACGGCCUUCGGGGUGUAAACUCCUUUCGCUAGGGACGAAGCGUUUUUGUGACGGUACCUGGAGAAGAAGCACCGGCUAACUACGUG